UACGGAGGGUGCGAGCGUUGUCCGGAAUCAUUGGGCGUAAAGGGCGCGUAGGUGGCCUGGUCAGCGUGCGGUGAAAGCUCGGGGCUCAACCCCGAGUCGGCCGUGCGAACUGCUGGGCUGGAGCACUGUAGAGGCAGGCGGAAUUCCGGGUGUAGCGGUGGAAUGCGUAGAGAUCCGGAAGAACACCGGUGGCGAAGGCGGCCUGCUGGGCAGUUGCUGACACUGAGGCGCGACAGCGUGGGGGAGCAAACAGG
rnacentral:rRNA from 1 species